rnacentral:lncRNA from 1 species
UCUCACAAUUCCUUGCAGCGAAGAUGCUUUCCUAGACCUCACUUCUCGUUUGAAUGGACUAUAAAUCAUAUUGAAGGAGAUUGACAUAGAUUAGUUGAGGCAAAUUGUACAGAAGACAAUUCUAUUUAUUUAUUUAUCCUUCUUUUGUAAGUGGAAAGUGCCAUCUAAGUGAGAUAGUUAUUAACAGAGAUGUUGAAUUCCUUUUUGGUCAAAUUUCAAUGAGUUUUCAUGCACACUUUGCUGAAAAAUUAUACAGAUAGCCACUGUUAUGCAUAUUCUCUUCAAUAUAUUUUUUUUUCUUCCCCUGCUCUUCUGCUGCUACUGUUGUACAAAUAAAAGCAAAAUAAAUUAUAAUGAUGUUCUUUUAGAGGAAGGAGUUGUAAUGAAAUGAAGUGGGGUUGAAAACUUGAAAAUUAAAAUUAAUAGAAUUAUGUCAGUAAAAUAUGCACACUAGGGUAUUUUCUUUUUUUCUUUUUUUUUUUUUGUUGAGGGGGGGGGGGGGGGGGGGGGGAGGGAGUGUUAAUUCAUAAAUCCAAUAUAUAUGGAUAAAAUUAGUACACUUAGUUAUUUGAUGAUCAAUAGUUGAAUAUCCCACUGUCUCGCAUUUCACUGCAGACCUUUGGACAAUUUUCUUCAGCAUUUCUCCUCAACAGUUUCAAAGGAUGCUAACAUAAGAAGGACAAUGUGGUGGAUAGCAGUUACAACCUCAAUUUGGAGGCUCAGAAAUGAUAUAAUUUUCCAGAAUCAAACCUUUGAUAUCACUAGACUGACAGAUAGCACUCUGUUUCUCUUAUGGACCUGGCUGAGGGGUUGGGAAAGGAAUUUCCAGAUUCCUUAUUAUAGUUGGUCUUCAAAUAUGUCUAUAGCUUUUAGUUAAAGCUUCUGUUAGUAGGGUUUUCAUCUGUGGAGGGUGCUGUAUCUCCUGAUUAUCAGGACCUUUUCUGUAUUAUGUAGUACCUCUGGUACUUGGUUUCAUAUAUAAUAUAUUAUCUUCGCCUUCCAAA